GCCUCCGUAGCUCAGUGGUAAGAACACUGGUCUCGUAAACCAGGGGUCGUGAGUUCGAUCCUCACCGGGGGCU
rnacentral:tRNA from 1 species